rnacentral:rRNA from 1 species
UCUUCCGCAAUGGACGAAAGUCUGACGGAGCAACGCCGCGGGAGUGAUGAAGGUUUUCGGAUCGUAAAACUCUGUUGUUAGGGAAGAACAAGUACCGUUCGAAUAGGGCGGUACCUUGACGGUACCUAACCAGAAAGCCACGGCUAACUACGUGCCAGCAGCCGCGGUAAUACGUAGGUGCCAAGCGUUGUCCGGAAUUAUUGGGCGGAAGGCGCGCGCGGGCGGUUUCUUAAGUCUGAUGUGAAAGCCCCCGGCUCAACCGGGGGGGGUCAUUGAAAACUGGGGAACUUGAGUGCAGAAGAGGAGAGUGGAAUUCCACGUGUAGCGGUGAAAUGCGUAGAGAUGUGGAGGAACACCAGUGGCGAAGGCGACUCUCUGGUCUGUAACUGACGCUGGGGCGCGAAAGCGUGGGGAGCGAACAG